GGCGAACGGGUGAGUAACACGUGGGUGAUCUGCCCUGCACUUUGGGAUAAGCCUGGGAAACUGGGUCUAAUACCAGAUAGGACCAUGCUUUGGAUGGUGUGGUGGAAAGUUUUUUCGGUGUGGGAUGAGCUUGCGGCCUAUCAGCUUGUUGGUGGGGUAAUGGCCUACCAAGGCGUCGACGGGUAGCCGGCCUGAGAGGGUGUACGGCCACAUUGGGACUGAGAUACGGCCCAG
rnacentral:rRNA from 1 species